rnacentral:rRNA from 1 species
CNGGUCUUGACNUCCUUUGACCNCUCGAGAGAUCGAGCUUUCCCUUCGGGGACAAAGUGACAGGUGGUGCAUGGUUGUCGUCAGCUCGUGUCGUGAGAUGUUGGGUUAAGUCCCGCAACGAGCGCAACCCUUAUUACUAGUUGCCAGCAUUCAGUUGGGCACUCUAGUGAGACUGCCGGUGACAAACCGGAGGAAGGUGGGGAUGACGUCAAAUCAUCAUGCCCCUUAUGACCUGGGCUACACACGUGCUACAAUGGAUGGUACAACGAGUCGCGAAGUCGUGAGGCCAAGCUAAUCUCUUAAAGCCAUUCUCAGUUCGGAUUGUAGGCUGCAACUCGCCUACAUGAAGCCGGAAUCGCUAGUAAUCGCGGAUCAGAACGCCACGGUGAAUACGUUCCCGGGA